GAUUUGUGAGAUCAAGAGUUGUCUGUGGAGUCAGUUGGUAUCACGGUGUCACGGAAAUUACAGUUGAUCUAUUUCAGGUUUACCAAAGACUAAAUCAAUUGGCAGUCUUAUUUCAGAACCAAACAUCAUUGUUGUAGGAGUGACACCAGUUGACUCAUGCACAGAUGAACGAUAAGCCAUUAAGCAGAAAG
rnacentral:lncRNA from 1 species